ACUCAAAUGGCCUUCAUGCCGGACAUGAACAUUCUUGAGGGUGUAGUGGUCCUACAUGAAACACUCCAUGAAAUCCACACGAAAAAGCUGGAUGGGGUUGUUUUCAAAGUGGAUUUCGAAAAAGCGUAUGACAAAGUCAAAUGGCCUUUCCUUCAACAGGCUUUACGCAUGAAGGGUUUUGAUGAGGCCUGGCGACGCCAGGUAGAAUCCUUUACGCAAAAAGGCAGUGUUGGAAUUAAAGUCAAUGAGGAUAUAGGUCACUAUUUCCAGACACACAAAGGCCUGAGACAAGGAGAUCCAAUGUCCCCUAUAUUGUUCAACAUUGUAGUUGAUAUGUUGGCCAUUCUUAUAGGUAGGGCAAAGGACGCCGGUCAGGUAGGUGGCUUGGUGCCUAACCUAGUUGAUGGGGGUGUCUCCAUUUUGCAAUACGCUGAUGAUACAAUCAUCUUCAUG
rnacentral:rRNA from 1 species